GGAAGGAUCAUUAAAAUGUUAAUCAGUCACGCUGCUGUGUGAACUGUAUAAAUCCACUCCGUGUACCCCAUCCCGUUGCUUCCGCUGGGUGUGCCCGGAGCAUUCUGGGACGAGCUUCCAAUUAACGCGAGGCCUAGUUCUGUGCUGAGAAGCUUCCCAUAAAAGCGUGGCCUAGUUCUGCGCCGUGAAGCUUCCAAUAAAAGUGCGGCCUAGAUAUGUCUGUGCUGUGAUGUUGGCGGCGUUUGCAGAACGCUUCGGACUUAAACCCACCCAGCGGGAGAAUAAAUAAUCUCUUGGGUGUUUUUACUAUUGAAUCUGUCUGAACGAGAAGAACCAAAGAAUUGUUAAAACUUUCAGCAACGGAUCUCUUGGUUCUCGCAUCGAUGAAGAACGCAGCGAAAUGCGAUAAGUAGUGUGAAUUGCAGAAUUCCGUGAAUCAUCGAAUCUUUGAACGCACAUUGCGCCUUUCGGUAUUCCGAAAGGCAUGCCUGUUCGAGAGUCAUAAAACCCUGUCAACUCCUGCUUGAUUUACUUUCAAGGGACUUGGUUAUGGUGGAAGAGGAGAGGAAAACAUCUGUAAGGAUCCUCUCCUCCCCAUCAAAAUUCAAUGGCGGGUCCGUACCCAUCCUCUGCUGAAGUGAGGCGUUGUAAAAGCUGUCAAGCACUUUUCGCCAACCAGCAGUUGGGAACGUUGGGCUCAUUGCCGUUAUCUAAAAACACCCCCUCCAAAGGUUGACCUCGGAUCAGGUAGGGAUACCCGCUGAACUUAAGCAUAUCAAUAAGCGGAGGAAAAGAAACCAACAGGGAUUGCCUCAGUAACUGCGAGUGAAGUGGCAAAAGCUCAAAUUUGAAAUCCGGUACCCCUGGUGCCUGAGUUGUAAUUUGGAGAGACUAAUUUGCAUAUGGCGCCGGCCUAGGUUCCUUGGAACAGGACAACAUAGAGGGUGAGAAUCCCGUUCCUGGCUGGACUGCUGUUUUGCGAUAAAUUGUCUUCGACGAGUCGAGUUGUUUGGGAAUGCAGCUCAAAAUGGGUGGUAAAUGUCAUC
rnacentral:rRNA from 1 species